UACGUAGGCAGCGAGCGUUGUUCGGAGUUACUGGGCGUAAAGGGUGUGUAGGCGGUUGUUUAAGUUUGGUGUGAAAUCUCCCGGCUCAACUGGGAGGGUGCGCCGAAUACUGAAUGACUUGAGUAUGGGAGAGGUGAGUGGAAUUUCCGGUGUAGCGGUGAAAUGCGUAGAUAUCGGAAGGAACACCUGUGGCGAAAGCGGCUCACUGGACCAUUACUGACGCUGAGGCACGAAAGCUAGGGGAGCAAACAGG
rnacentral:rRNA from 1 species